rnacentral:rRNA from 2 species
UACGAAGGGGGCUAGCGUUGCUCGGAAUCACUGGGCGUAAAGGGCGCGUAGGCGGCCGGCCAAGUCGGGGGUGAAAGCCUGUGGCUCAACCACAGAAUGGCCCUCGAUACUGGCUGGCUCGAGACCGGAAGAGGUUGGUGGAAUUGCGAGUGUAGAGGUGAAAUUCGUAGAUAUUCGCAAGAACACCGGUGGCGAAGGCGGCCAACUGGUCCGGAUCUGACGCUGAGGCGCGAAAGCGUGGGGAGCAAACAGG